AUAAAAUGCUCUGCUGGGCGCAGCUUGAUACGACCGCAGAGGUGGUACCCUGAACAGUUGGGGCAAGUAUGGACACAACAUUCAAGCUUGAUACGACCGCAGAGGUCAAACCCUGAACAGUUGGGGCAAGUAUGGACACAACAUUCAAGCUUGAUACAGCUCUGAAUUUGGAUUGUGAUUAAAUAUUUGACACAGCAUAGGUUUCUGACACAGAAAGAAUGUGGUCUAAGAACUUCAAUUUUUUUAAUUUACCUAUUAUGGUCCAAUGUCCAAAAUCAAAAUACAUGGUUAGAUUCAGCAUAUCAAAGAACCCCAUAUAUUCAAUUUUUGUUGAAAUCAAACAAAGUUUAAUUUUGGACCCCAACUUGGACAAACUUGAAAACUGGUCCCAUAAUCAAAAAUCUAAACACAUGUUUAGAUUCAGCAUAUCAAAGUACCCCAAGAAUUCAAUUUUUGUUAAAAUCAAACUAAGUUUAAUUUUGGACCCUUUGGACCUUAAUGUAGACCAAUUUAAAAAACGGGACCCAAAAUUAAAAAUCUAAAAACACGUUUAGAUUUGGCAUAUCAAAGAACCCCAAUAAUUCAUUUUUUGAUGAAAUCAAACAAAGUUUAAUUUUGGACCCUUUUGACCACAAUAUGAACCAAUUUGAUAGCGGGCCUACAAAAUAAAAAAUCUAAACACAUGGUAAGAUUCAGCAUAUCAAAGAACCCCAUAUAUUCAAUUUUUGUUGAAAUCAAACAAAGUUUAAUUUUGGACCCCAAUUUGGACCAAUUUGAAAACUGGGCCAAAAAUCAAAAAUCUAAAUACAUGUUUAGAUUCAGCAUAUCAAAGAACCCCAAUAAUUAAAUUUUUGAUGAAAUCAAACAAAGUUCAAUUUUGGACCCCAACUUGGACCAACUUGAAAACUGGUCCCAUAAUCAAAAAUCUAAACACAUGUUUAGAUUCAGCAUAUCAAAGAACCCCAAAAAUUCAAUUUUUGUUAAAAUCAAACUAAGUUUAAUUUUGGACCCUUUGGACCUUAAUGUAGACCAAUUUAAAAAACGGGACCCAAAAUUAAAAAUCUAAAUACACGGUUAGAUUUGGCAUAUCAAAGAACCCCAAUAAUUAAAUUUUUGAUGAAAUCAAACAAAGUUCAAUUUUGGACCCUUUUGACCUCAAUAUGAACCAAUUUGAUAGCGGGCCCACAAAUAAAAAAUCUAAAUACAUGGUAAGAUUCAGCAUAUCAAAGAACCCCAUAUAUUCAAUUUUUGUUAAAAUCAAACAAAGUUUAAUUUUGGACCCCAAUUUGGACCUUAAUGUAGACCAAUUUAAAAAACGGGACCCAAAAUUAAAAAUCUAAAUAUACGGUUAGAUUUGGCAUAUCAAAGAACCCCAAUAAUUAAAUUUUUGAUGAAAUCAAACAAAGUUCAAUUUUGGACCCUUUUGACCUCAAUAUGAACCAAUUUGAUAGCGGGCCCACAAAUAAAAAAUCUAAAUACAUGGUAAGAUUCAGCAUAUCAAAGAACCCCAUAUAUUCAAUUUUUGUUGAAAUCAAACAAAGUUUAAUUUUGGACCCCAAUUUGGACCAACUUGAAAACUGGGCCAAAAAUCUAAAAUCUAAAUACAUGUUUAGAUUCAGCAUAUCAAAGAACCCCAUAUAUUCAAUUUUUGUUGAAAUCAAACAAAGUUUAAUUUUGGACCCCAACUUGGACCAACUUGAAAACUGGGCCCAUAAUCAAAAUUCUAAACACAUGUUUAGAUUCAGCAUAUCAAAGAACCCCAAGAAUUCAAUUUUUGUUAAAAUCAAACUAAGUUUAAUUUUGGACCCUUUGGACCUUAAUGUAGACCAAUUUAAAAACGGGACCCAAAAUUAAAAAUCUAAAUACACGGUUAGAUUUGGCAUAUCAAAGAACCCCAAUAAUUCAAUUUUUGAUGAAAUCAAACAAAGUUUAAUUUUGGACCCUUUUGACCUCAAUAUGAACCAAUUUGAUAGCGGGUCCACAAAUAAAAAAUCUAAAUACAUGGUUAGAUUCAGCAUAUCAAAGAACCCCAAGAAUUCAAUUUUUGAUGAAAUCAAACAAAGUUUAAUUUUGGACCCUUUUGACCUCAAUGUGGACAAAGUUGAUAACGGGGCCCAAAAAUCAAAAAUCUAAAUACAUGGUUAGAUUCAACAUAUCAAAGAACCCCAUAUAUUCAAUUUUUGUUGAAAUCAAACAAAGUUUAAUUUUGGACCCCGAUUUGGACCAACUUGAAAACUGGGCCCAUAAUCAAGAAUCUAAAUACACGGUUAGAUUCGGCAUAUCAAAGAACCCCAAUAAUUCAAUUUUUGUUAAAAUCAAACUAAGUUUAAUUUUGGACCCUUUUGACAUUAAUGUAGACCAAUUUAAAAACGGGGCCCAAAAUCCAAAAACUUAAUACACGGUUAGAUUCAGCAUAUUAAAGAACCCCAAGAAUUCAAGAAUAAAACCCCAUUGAAAUUGAUCAAGAAAUAAGCAAUUUAUAUGAAGUAUCUUCUUUUGCACAAUACUGUGCAAUUGAAUAUUUCUUGCUAUUGUGCAAUACUGUACAAUUGACAAUUUCUUGCUAUUGCGCAAUAUUGUGCUAUUGGAUAUUUCUUGCUAUUGCGCAAUACUGUGCAAUUGAAGAUUUCUUGCUAUUGCGCAAUACUGUGCAAUUGAAGAUUUCUUGCAAUUGUGCAAUACUGUGCAAUUGAAAAUUUCUUGCUAUUGCACAAUACUUAUUAUAUAAUAAUUUACACAUCCUGUUUGGUGUGUAACUCCUACCAUAUCAUCAUUAUUUGCUUUUAAAUAUUAAUCAGAAAUAACCAACUUAAAAUGGAAAAUUUUAAAAGAAAAAAAAAAGGAAAAAAAGAAAAAAAAAGAAAAAAAAAAAUCCCCCCCCCAAAUUUUUUGAACCCCCUUAUGAUUCAUCACCCCCAAACUCAAUCCCAGCCUUCCCUUUGUGGUAUGGUACCUUGCAGUACAAUUUCAGAGAGAUCCAUACACUUGAACACAAGUUAUUGUCUGGAAACUAGAAAAAUGCUUAUUUUUGGCCCCUUUUUGGCCCCCAAUUCCUAAACGUUUCAGGCAAUUACCCCCAAACUCAAUUCCAGCUUUCCCUUUGUGAUAUGAAACCUUGUAGUACAAUUUCAGAAAUAUCCAAACACUUACUCACAAGUUAUUGUCAUGAAACUAGAAAAAUGCUUGUUUUUUGCCCCUUUUUUGGCCCCUAAUUCCUAAAAUUUUGAGGCAAUUACCCCCAAAAUCAAUUACAGCCUUCCCUUUGUGAUAUGGAACCUUGUGGUACAAUGUCAGAGAGAUCCAUACACUUACACACAAGUUAUUGUCUGGAAUUACAAAAAUGCUUAUUUUUGGCCCCUUUUUGGCCCCUAAUUCCUUAACUGUUGGUACCAUAACCCCCAAAAUCAAUCCCAACCUUCCUUUCGUGGUAUUGAACCUUAUGGUAAAAUUUCAUGGAGAUCCAUUCACUUAAACUAAAGUUAGAGUGCGAAAACCAAUGUGUCUUCGGACGACGCCGGACGACGCCAGACGACGACGACGACGACGACGACGACGACGCCAACGUCAUACCAAUAUACGACCAAAAAAUUUUCAAUUUUUGCGGUCGUAUAAAAAUUAGG